rnacentral:rRNA from 1 species
GGAGGAAAAGAAACUAACAAGGAUUCCCCUAGUAACGGCGAGUGAAGAGGGAAGAGCUCAAAUUUUAAAUCUGGCGUCUUCGGCGUCCGAAUUGUAAUCUAGAGAAGUGUUUUCCGUGACGGACCGUGCAUAAGUCUCCUGGAAUGGAGUGUCAUAGAGGGUGAGAAUCCCGUAUAUGGCACGGACUCCCGUUGCUCUGUGAUACACUCUCGACGAGUCGAGUUGUUUGGGAAUGCAGCUCUAAAUGGGUGGUAAAUGCCAUCUAAAGCUAAAUAUUGGCGAGAGACCGAUAGCGAACAAGUACCGUGAGGGAAAGAUGAAAAGCACUUUGGAAAGAGAGUGAAACAGUACGUGAAAUUGUUGAAAGGGAAACGCUUGAAGUCAGUCGCGCCGUUCGGGAUUCAGCCUUGCUUCUGCCCGGUUUACUUCCCGUUGGGUGGGUCAACAUCAGUUUCGGUCGGAGGAGAAAGGCUUGGGGAAGGUGGCAGCAUUCGUGCUGUGUUAUAGCCCCUUGUUGUAUACUUCGACUGGGACUGAGGAUCGCAGCACGCCUUUGGCCGGGGUUCGCCCACGUACGUGCUUAGGAUGUUGGCAUAAUGGCUUUAAGCGACCCGUCUG